rnacentral:tRNA from 1 species
GAGGGUAUAGCUCAGUGGUAGAGCACAUGCUUAGAAAGAACGAGAUCCUGGGUUCAAUCCCCAGUACUUCUA